rnacentral:rRNA from 1 species
GUAGGUGGCAAGCGUUGUCCGGAAUUAUUGGGCGUAAAGCGCGCGCAGGUGGUUCUUUAAGUCUGAUGUGAAAGCCCCCCGGGCUCAACCGGGGGAGGGUCAUUGGAAACUGGGGAACUUGAGUGCAGGAGAGGAAAGUGGAAUUCCACGUGUAGCGGUGAAAUGCGUAGAUAUGUGGAGGAACACCAGUGGCGAAGGCGACUUUCUGGCCUGUAACUGACACUGAGGCGCGAAAGCGUGGGGAGCAAACAGGAUUAGAUACCCUGGCAGUCCACGCCGUAAACGAUGAGUGCUAAGUGUUGGGGGGUUUCCGCCCCUCAGUGCUGCAGCUAACGCAUUAAGCACUCCGCCUGGGGAGUACGGUCGCAAAGACUG